rnacentral:rRNA from 1 species
GACGAACGCUGGCGGCGUGCUUAACACAUGCAAGUCGAACGGAAAGGCCCUGCUUGCAGGGUACCCGAGUGGCGAACGGGUGAGUAACACGUGGGUGAUCUGCCCUGCACUUCGGGAUAAGCCUGGGAAACUGGGUCUAAUACCGGAUAGGAGCCAUUUUUAGUGUGAUGGUUGGAAAGUUUUUUCGGUGUAGGAUGAGCUCGCGGCCUAUCAGCUUGUUGGUGGGGUAAUGGCCUACCAAGGCGGCGACGGGUAGCCGGCCUGAGAGGGUGGACGGCCACAUUGGGACUGAGAGACGGCCCAGACUCCUACGGGAGGCAGCAGUGGGGAAUAUUGCACAAGGGGCGCAAGCCUGAUGCAGCGACGCCGCGUGGGGGAUGACGGCCUUCGGGUUGUAAACUCCUUUCGCUAGGGACGAAGCUUUUUGUGACGGUACCUAGAUAAGAAGCACCGGCUAACUACGUG